UACGGAGGGUGCGAGCGUUAUCCGGAAUUACUGGGUUUAAAGGGUGCGUAGGCGGGAUAUUAAGUCUAAGGUGAAAGUCUGUAGCUUAACUAUAGAAUUGCCUUAGAUACUGAUAUUCUUGAAUUGGAUUGAGGAUGGCGGAAUGUGACAUGUAGCGGUGAAAUGCAUAGAUAUGUCAUAGAACACCAAUUGCGAAGGCAGCUAUCUGGGUCUUGAUUGACGCUGAGGCACGAAAGCGUGGGGAUCGAACAGG
rnacentral:rRNA from 1 species